GAUGAACGCUGGCGGCGUGCCUAAUACAUGCAAGUCGAGCGAACAGACGAGGAGCUUGCUCCUCUGACGUUAGCGGCGGACGGGUGAGUAACACGUGGAUAACCUAUCUAUAAGACUGGGAUAACUUCGGGAAACCGGAGCUAAUACCGGAUAAUAUAUUGAACCGCAGGGUUCAAUAGUGAAAUACGGUUUUGCUGUCACUUAUAGAUUGAUCCGCGCCGCAUUAGCUAGUUGGUAAGGUAACGGCUUACCAAGGCAACGAUGCGUAGCCGACCUGAGAGGGUGACCGGCCACACUGGAACUGAGACACGGUCCAGACUCCUACGGGAGGCAGCAGUAGGGAAUCUUCCGCAAUGGGCGAAAGCUUGACGGAGCAACGCCGCGUGAGUGAUGAAGGUCUUCGGAUCGUAAAACUCUGUUAUUCGGGAAGAACAAAUGUGUAAGUAACUAUGCACGUCUUGACGGUACCUAAUCAGAAAGCCACGGCUAACUACGUG
rnacentral:rRNA from 1 species